rnacentral:rRNA from 1 species
CAGCAGUAGCCGCGGGAAUACAGAGGGUGCGAGCGUUAAUCGGAUUUACUGGGCGUAAAGCGUGCGUAGGCGGCUUUUUAAGUCGGAUGUGAAAUCCCUGAGCUUAACUUAGGAAUUGCAUUCGAUACUGGGAAGCUAGAGUAUGGGAGAGGAUGGUAGAAUUCCAGGUGUAGCGGUGAAAUGCGUAGAGAUCUGGAGGAAUACCGAUGGCGAAGGCAGCCAUCUGGCCUAAUACUGACGCUGAGGUACGAAAGCAUGGGGAGCAAACAGGAUUAGAGACCCCUGUAGUCCCUGUCUCUUAUAC